rnacentral:rRNA from 1 species
UAGAGCGGCGACGGGUGAGUAACACGUGGACAAUCUGCCCCCCGCCGGGAUAGCCCAGGGAAACCUGGAUUAAUACCGGAUGAGACGGGACCCGCGAAGGCGGGACCCGGAAAGCGCUGCGGCGCCGCGGGGGAUGAGUCUGCGUCCCAUUAGCUAGACGCGGGGUAACGGCCCACCGUGGCGACGAUGGGUAGCCGGCCUGAGAGGGUGGACGGCCACAUUGGAACUGAGACACGGUCCAGACUCCUACGGGAGGCAGCAGCUAAGAAUCUUCCGCAAUGGGCGAAAGCCUGACGGAGCGAACCGCCGCGUGAACGAAGAAGGCCGUGAGGUUGUAAAGUUCUUUUCGGGAGGGGGAACAACCGUGGCAGGGAAUGGCCGCGGGAUGACGUGAAUCCCGGAAUAAGCCCCGGCUAACUACGUGCCAGCCGCCGC